AUGGCGGAGUUGGUGGUCACCAUGGCGAUCGAGCCAUUGGUGUCCAAGCUGUUGGACAAGGCAUCCAGCUACCUCCUGGACCAGUACAAUGUAAUGGAGGGAAUGGAGGAGCAGCAGAAGACUCUCAAACGCAAGCUUCCGGCCAUCCUUGACGUGAUCACCGACGCCGAGGAGCGGGCCACGGUACAUAGAAAAGGUGCUAAAUCCUAG
rnacentral:rRNA from 1 species